CAGGAGGCAGGGGACAGCCAGGAUGGCAAGAAAGCUCUCCCCAGAUACCCUUCUGCUUUUAUCAUGGAGGAAAAAUACUUCUUAGAACGACUCCAGAAGAUUUCCUCUUACAUCUUCUUAUUCAAAACGAAGUGACGUGCCAUUUUUGGUAUCCAGGGAAUCUGGGAAAGCCUGGUGGAUGAGAUCUGGAUGGAUUCAACAGAUUUGGACCAAAGCAACAACACAGUCCUUGAUUUAUGAACCUCCAUACUGUGAGCCUGGCGUCAGACCAGGAACCAUUUUUUGGAUGUCCUACCCAGGAAAGACAGCCAAGCGUCUUCUUUUCCAGCAAGAAUGUGGGUGCUCCCGUCUUCGCAGCCUCCACUCCUCCGUGGUGCCCACGCCCUGCCCUCGCCACUGUUACUGCCUGCCAGGCCUCUGCAGCCAUCAGAGCACGAUUCCUGAGGUCCUCCAAUGUCUGCACUUUUCCAGAAGAGGAGACACAGUUGUAAGAACUGAAGGCCUUUAUAUCGUUCCGAUGUGCUUACCACACUAAGUCUAGGAACCAUCUCUCACCACGUAAAGGAAUGUCUGAAGAAGAUUCAUGUUGGUGGUUUUGAUGAAGGCAUCGACAAAUUGGCAGAAGUUAAACCUCAGAAACAAACUGUCAUUAUCAUUUAUUACUAUUAGUGAACAAUACGAUGGUAUACAUUUCCCCCUUUGCUCAAAAAAUGCUUUAUGAUUAAUCUAUUACUCCGUGUUUCUUUUCUGACUGUUAUUAUUAUGACUCCUUUUACUUUAGGGUUAUUAUUAAAAAUAAUUCUAUCUAAUAAAGAACGUGGUGUUAAGGAUAA